UGUCUGCUGUUUUGUCUCGUGAUGGCAUCCUCAUCAUUACAAUCCCCUCAAAGGCACGAAAUGCAAGAAAUUCUGAAAUAUCUUUGAUGGAAAAUGAUACUGUUAAUCGAGCAAAUAUUAUCGGAGAGUCUGGUGAAAAAUGUGGUAGAAAAAGUAAAGUCAUCGAGAUACAAAAUUGCCAGUCAGCAGCAGACUCUUCUGGAAGCAACUUGAUAGUGUCUUCCCAUCGAGGCUCAUUGGAAUCGGCACCAGGAAGAGACCCUUUAGUGAGAUGUGAGAAGGAAGAGUUUCAAACACUAGA